rnacentral:rRNA from 1 species
GACGUAGGGCGCGAGCGUUGUCCGGAUUUAUUGGGCGUAAAGAGCUCGUAGGCGGCUUGUCGCGUCGUCCGUGAAAACCAGGGGCUCAACCCCUGGCUUGCGGUCGAUACGGGCAGGCUAGAGUUCGGUAGGGGAGACUGGAAUUCCUGGUGUAGCGGUGAAAUGCGCAGAUAUCAGGAGGAACACCGGUGGCGAAGGCGGGUCUCUGGGCCGAUACUGACGCUGAUGCGCGAAAGCUAGGGGAGCAAACGGG